AUCGGUAAGCAAGUUUUGAAAGUGAGAUCUCUGAAAUCUAGAAGAGAAGUCCUAUUGGGCCUGGGAGGAAAAGGACCUGAUAUGAGUUGGUUCCUUCUUCCUCGAUUAGCCUCAUGGAAAGGACCUUGGGAAAUAGAAGGUUAGAGCUGAAAAGGACCUUAGAACAUAUAAUGCCAGAGUCUAAAGAAAAUCUGAAAACACAGCAUGUUGGAACAUACAAUGUUAGUGCCAGAAAGGCCUAGAGACAUCAUCUAGUUCAACCCUUUUUUCAGGGGAGAAAAUUGAAACCCCAAAAUGGGAAGUGAUUUACUUGAGAUCACACAGAGAGAACUUGCCUUGAUGUCUAGAUCUAAAAGGGACCUCAGAGCUAAACCUCCUUUUAUAGAGGAGGAAACUGAGGCCCAGGGAGGUGAAGGAACUUGUCUAGGGUCCUCCAGAUAGUAUGUAUCAAAUGUGGGAUCUAAACCCAGGUCCUCCAUCUCCAAUGGCAAUGUUCUUCCAGUGGUUCUGUGCUGCCUUCCCCUUGGGGGAGAGGGGCCUGUUCAGUUUAGCACUAGAGGAGAAAAGUGGUAGAGAGGUAGCUACUACCUUUGAGAAGAACCUCUCAAACAACUAGAGCUAUCUCAAAGUCUUCUCAAUUCCCACUCAAAAGUAUCUUUAAGUGAAGGCUGGAUGAACAUUUGGGUAGGACCUGGGCCUUGAAGAUGAAAACAAGUAUCCAUUCACUCUAGUAGCAUAGUCAAACCAUAGCAUGUCCUCCUUCACACACAGCCCCAGUAGUUCCAUUCAUCCCUUUCCUAGGGCACAUUUCCACCCAUCCUUGACUCCCUUACUUCUUCUGUUACAGGCUAUGGUGGCAUGUAUGGCUAUGGAGCAGGUGAGGGGACUGGAGGGAGGGAUGCCUAACUUCUGAGAGAGACCAGAGUCCAAAUCCUAUUCAUUCUCUUCUCCAUCUUUUUCUCCCUUCUCCUAGGUCUCAGAGGAGGAGCCAAACCAGAGAAAACAGGCUAUGGAAAUGGAUUGGGAGCAGGAGCUUUCCCAGAGGCUGGACUGCAGCCAGGGAGUGGAACCCCAAAUGGUUUUGGAGCAGGCCUGGGUGGUGUGAAGCCUCAUAAAGCAGUUUAUAGCAAUGGACUAGGAGCUGGAACCUUUCCUGGGGCCAGGGCCCAGUACACAGGUUUCCCAGGGGCUGGAAGUUAUCCAGCCAAUGGCUACAGCAAUGGAUAUGGAGCUGGAGAAGCUGGAUACCCUAAAUCUUCCCUUUAUGAAAAUGGUGGGGCUAGCUCCUUUGGUCCUCAAGCGGUCCCCUUUCUCCCUGGAGGUUCAGACUCUGGAGCCAAGGCUGUUAAACAUGAUUAUGGAAAUGGGGUGGGCGCAGCUUCCUACCCUGCAGAUGGAAGCCCACCAGGUGGACCAGAUGUGAAGCACAACUUCAAUGGCUUCCUAGGAAAUGGCUAUGGAGGUCGAUGUCCUCCAGGGAAAUGUUGAGCCUAAAGAUGUCCCUCCAAUAUCCCCAAUCUGAAGAUCUUCAGGGGAGCUUGGAGCCCAAGACUCCCUGGCCACCUUUCUUGCAAUCAGGCUUUUUGGAAAGAAACAGGCUCUUUGGGAAGGGAGUCUCCCCUCUGCCCCAGGAGGGUCCUUCUUUGGUCUCUUAAACCCAGCCUUAUAAAGGGCCCCUCAAGGUAGAGAGUAGGAGGAAAUCCUGGGUCUGUUAAUAAAAGGAUUCAAUUCACAAGUUUGACUCUGGCA
rnacentral:lncRNA from 1 species